CCUACGGGAGGCAGCAGUCGGGAAUUUUGCGCAAUGGGCGAAAGCCUGACGCAGCAACGCCGCGUGAGGGAUGAAGGCCUUCGGGUUGUAAACCUCUUUUCUCAGGGAAGAUUGUGACGGUACCUGAGGAAGAAGUCACGGCUAACUACGUGCCAGCAGCCGCGGUAAUACGUAGGUGACAAGCGUUGUCCGGAUUUACUGGGCGUAAAGAGCGCGCAGGCGGUCGUUCAAGUCGAGUGUGAAAGCCCCCGGCUCAACUGGGGAGGGUCACUCGAUACUGAUCGACUCGAAGGCAGGAGAGGGAAGUGGAAUUCCCGGUGUAGUGGUGAAAUGCGUAGAUAUCGGGAGGAACACCAGUGGCGAAGGCGACUUCCUGGCCUGUUCUUGACGCUGAGGCGCGAAAGCUAGGGGAGCAAACGGGAUUAGAUACCCUAGUAGUC
rnacentral:rRNA from 1 species